AACUAUUUGGGGUUUUCCGAAUCUGUAGCAGCGCGCGGUUGCCCCCCCCCCCCCCCCCCCCCCCCCCCCCCCCGCCCGCGCCACCCCCCCCCCCCCCCCCCCCCACCUACGCGGCGGGGGGGGGGGCGCCGGUGCGGGGACUCCCACAAGCGGGGUGUGCGCCGCGGGGGGGGGGGGGGGGGGGGGGGGGCAUCCCCUGCCGCACGAGCAACAGCUGAUUCGGGUGAGGCGCGUGGAAGCUCUGAGCUCGCGCUUACUCUCGAUGCAAAGCAACUCCCCCUUUGCUUGGCUGCUUCAGGAGGGAGGGAGGGGGUGAGGGGGGGGGGGGGGGNNNNNNNNNNNNNNNNNNNNNNNNNNNNNNNNNNNNNNNNNNNNNNNNNNNNNNNNNNNNNNNNNNNNNNNNNNNNNNNNNNNNNNNNNNNNNNNNNNNNGGAUUACGCCGCCGCGUGCGCGUCCGCGGCGACUGCAAAUAAAUACAUUAGAGAGCGGGCCGUGUUUUUGGGGGCUGCUUUGCUUCCGGAAGGAGGCCGAGCUGAACGAGAAACCGGGCACUUUUCUCUCUCUCUCUCUCUCUCCCACACACUUUUUUUUUUUUUGGAAGCCGAACUUUUCGAGGGUGGAAAAUGCGUCUUUGAGAGGUGCUUGGCACAUUUCCCUCCACACCACAAUGGCAACCGAAACCUUUCUGUUGAACGAGGAACCCACCAGAGGCCCGGGGAUGCCUGAAUGCUUUGUAGUAUCAGAUUCAUACAGGGUAUGCAUCUAUUAUUAUUAUUAUUAUUAUUGUCACUGUUCAUUUUGCUAUUAUCAGCAUGCUAUUAUCGUCAUAAUUACAUAUUGUAUUAUUUUAAUGUAGUUCUCGUUUUUAUUAUGCUUGUAUGUGUUAUAUUUUUAUUUUCAUUCCAUUUUUUUACAUUUUUAUUUUCAUUCCAUUCCAAAAUUCAUUCCAUCCAUUUCUUUUGGUUAUUACUAUUACUAUUAUUAGCAUUAGUAUAAUGAUAUGUCUUAGGAGCAUUAGUAUUAUUACUCUUCAUUCUCUCAUGUGUUGUAUGAAAUAUGGUAUUUGAGUCAUUACUCAUUACUCUGACUGGCAGUCUGUUUUUAUGCUCUUGGUAAUUGCACCACAAUCAUAAUGUCAUUCACAGCUCCCUCUACUCAGCUGCAAACCAUUACAAUCAUUAUUUCCACACGCACGUUGAAGAAGACGAAGAAAGUACAACUGUGUGUGUGUGUGUGUGUGUGUGUGUGUGUGUGUGGUGGGUGGGGGGGACUUUGCCUUUUCCUCAUAGGAGCGAAAAUGAUAACGACAAUUUGCGCGAUGACUCGUUUGGGCAAAAGCAAAAAGGAGCAGAAAGUAAAAGAAAGUGAUGAAGCUUUUCUGGGAAAAGCAUCAAAAAAGAAGAGGAAGAAAAAUCCUCCUAGCUCACUCGGUGGAUUUAUACCGGUCCACAUAGUGAUAUAGGAUGGUAAUAAAAACAAAGGAGUGGGAAUGGGGAUGCGGGGGGGGGCUGAAAAUGUGAUUGUUAAUGAGGUGGGAGCUGCUUUUCUAGGCUUCAGUCUUUGUCUCUCCCGGAGUUGAGACUCAUGCCAAGUCUCACACUGAAUCUGGGUUGCUACAGUGUAUCGAGUGUCUCGGGGUGCAGGAACGAACCAUUAUGGAGGUAAUUGAGUAGCGAGGCUGGUAAAGGAGCAUUUUCUUUGGGGCGGUGGGGCGGGAAGCUGUGUAGGAUUCCGAGGGGGCAGCGGGUUCAAGAACGUCCACAGGAGGGUGUCCACAUCCAGCUUUCUCCGCGGGAGCCUCCGAUGCUUCGUCGCAUGAAACUUCUCCCUCAUCUGUUGUCUUGUAUCGUCUUCAGCUCCUAACUCGUCCUAACCGGCCCAUUGGGUUUAACUAACCUUGUCAGGAUCAAAAGGUAUUCGGCUUGGCCGGAGGUCUUUCCUGGUCCACUGAAGGCCACCUCUUGGCCAAGGAAGGUUUGGUUUCAUUUCAAACCGAAGCAUCUACAGAUUUAUUCCAGACCCGAUAUACGUGUUCGGAUCGGACUGCAACCUCCAGUUCCGCCGCGAGAAGCUGAUGCAAAAGUGUCUUUAAAGACUUUAGGGACUGGCUCGCUGUGAUGCUUGAGCCGCAUCUCUAGGUCACUACUGCGCAUUCAAAAUAGGGUAACUUGUGUCUAUUGGUUGGGAAAAAAAGUCGCAUGGCGUUUAAACUCGCUUUUGUCCCCGUCGCAAAUGUUUUCCGACUUUACUACUAUUUUAUUAAUAUUCAAGAAAGUUUCCAAACGAGCCAGCAGGGAGCACGACAGUAAAACCAGUGAAAGCGUUGGUGCAAUCAGGCGCAGUCAGGCGCGGGUGUAGCAGGGCGUGGCCCGAGUGCUCUUCUCUGAAUGAAGCUGGAGAAAUCAUUCCAAAUGGGUUACCAUUUUUUGGGGAAGGAGAACAUCUGUCAAUGGUCUAAAGCAGCAACGCCAUACAUCUCGCACAUACCACCCACUGUCUAAUAAUAAUAAGAAGAAGAAGAAUGCGAUGACUCCGAGUCA
ensembl:lncRNA